rnacentral:rRNA from 1 species
AAAACGGAGAGUUUGAUCCUGGCUCAGGAUGAACGCUGGCGGUAUGCUUAACACAUGCAAGUCGAACGGUCUCUUCGGAGAUAGUGGCGGACGGGUGAGUAACGCGUGAGAAUCUGGCUUCAGGUC